CGGUAUACUAACCGUGCGAAGGUAGCAUAGUCAAUAGUCCUUUAAUUGGGGGCUUGAAUGAAUGGUUGGACGUGAAGAAAGCUGUCUUGUAAGUGUAGUUUUAAAUUUAACUUUUGUGUGAAAAGGCAUUAAUGGGUUAGAGGGACGAUAAGACCCUAUAAAACUUUAUAGGUGAUUGCUUAGUUUUUAGAUGUUUGGGUAAUUGGAGGUUAAGCAAGUCUAUUGCGCUGGGGCGGCGGAAAUAUAAAUUGUAACUGUUUUUAAAUUGAAAUAAUUGUAAUUAGAAUUUGAUCCUGAAUUUUGGUUUAUAAGUGUUAGUUACUUUAGGGAUAACAGCGUUAUUUCUCCUGAGAGUUCAUAUCUACGGAGACAUUUGCGACCUCGAUGUUGAAUUAAAACUU
rnacentral:rRNA from 1 species